rnacentral:rRNA from 1 species
AUUGAACGCUGGCGGCAGGCCUAACACAUGCAAGUCGAGCGGAUGAAGGGAGCUUGCUCCUGGAUUCAGCGGCGGACGGGUGAGUAAUGCCUAGGAAUCUGCCUCCUAUUGGGGGAUAAUGUCCGCAAACGGGCGCUACUACCACCUACGUCCUGAGGCAGCUAGUUGGGGAUCUUCGGACCUCACGCUCUCAGAUGAGUCUAGGUCGGAUUAGCUAGUUGGUGGGUUAAGGGCCUACCAAGCCGACGAUCCGUAACUGGUCUGAGAGGAUGAUCAGUCACACGGGAACUGAGACACGGACCAGACUCCUAAGGGAGGCAGCAGUGGGGAAUAUGGGACAAUAGGCGAAAGCAUGAUACAGCCAGGCGGCGUGUGUGAAGAAGGUCUUCGGAUUGUAAAGAAGUUUUAGUGGGGAGGAAGGGCAGUAAGUUGAUACGUUGCUGGAUUGACGUUACCAACAGAAUAAGCACCGGCUAACUACGUG